rnacentral:rRNA from 1 species
CAUCUCCUUAAUCGGAGAGUUCCCUUCGGGGACAUUGGUGACAGGUGGUGCAUGGUUGUCGUCAGCUCGUGUCGUGGGAUGUUUGGUUAAGUCCCGCAACGAGCGCAACCCUUGUCUUUAGUUGCCAGCAUUAAGUUGGGCACUCUAGAGAGACUGCCAGGGAUAACCUGGAGGAAGGUGUGGAUGACGUCAAAUCAUCAUGCC